CAAUAGCGUAUAUUAAAGCUGUUGCGGUUAAAAAGCUCGUGGUUGGAUUUCUGUCAAGGACAACUGGUCCGCCCCUCGGGUGAGCACAUAGUUUGGUCUUGGCAUCUUGUUGGAAACUGUUGCUGCACUUGGUUGUGUGGCGCAGUGUCCAGCACUUUCACUUUGAGGAAAUUGGAGUGUUUCAAGCAGGCACAUGCCUUUGGACACAGUAGCAUGGAAUAAUUAGAUUGGGCUUUUGCUCCAACUUGUCGGUUUCUGGAGCUGAGGUGAGAAUUAAUGGGGAUUGUUGGGGGCAUCCGAAUUUAGCCGUCAGAGGUGAAAUUCUUGGAUCUGCUAAAGACGGACAACUGCGAAAGCGUUUGCCCAGGAUGUUUUCAUUGA
rnacentral:rRNA from 1 species